GACGAACGCUGGCGGCGUGCUUAACACAUGCAAGUCGAACGGAAAGGCCCUGCUUUUGUGGGGUGCUCGAGUGGCGAACGGGUGAGUAACACGUGAGUAACCUGCCCUUGACUUUGGGAUAACUUCAGGAAACUGGGGCUAAUACCGGAUAGGAGCUCCUGCUGCAUGGUGGGGGUUGGAAAGUUUCGGCGGUUGGGUAUGGACGCGCGGCUUAUCAGCUUGUUGGUGGGGUAGUGGCUUACCAAGGCUUUGACGGGUAGCCGGCCUGAGAGGGUGACCGGCCACAUUGGGACUGAGAUACGGCCCAGACUCCUACGGGAGGCAGCAGUGGGGAAUAUUGCACAAUGGGCGGAAGCCUGAUGCAGCAACGCCGCGUGCGGGAUGACGGCCUUCGGGUUGUAAACCGCUUUCGCCUGUGACGAAGCGUGAGUGACGGUAAUGGGUAAAGAAGCACCGGCUAACUACGUG
rnacentral:rRNA from 1 species